rnacentral:rRNA from 1 species
UACGAAGGGUGCAAACGUUGCUCGGAAUUAUUGGGCGUAAAGCGCACGUAGGCGGCUUGGCAAGUCGGAUGUGAAAUCCCUCGGCUCAACCAAGGAAGUGCAUCCGAAACUGCUGAGCUUGAGUUCUUAAGAGGAUCGCGGAAUUCCCGGUGUAGAGGUGAAAUUCGUAGAUAUCGAGAGGAACACCGGUGGCGAAGGCGGCCUUCUGGACAGUAACUGACGCUGAGACGCGAAAGCGUGGGGAGCAAACAGG